CAUGACUGUUGAAUGGUUCGUUGAGAGUGAGGAACCUAUGGACUCUCACACACCAAGAUGGAAUUGAGUUCGAAGAGUGACUUCAAAAUAGUUGCUUGCUUUUAAAAUCUUGACCGUUUUUGCUGUCCAGUUGAAUGAAUUUAGCUUCAUACUGCUUCACUAGGAAUUAGCGUUUCAUAGGAACAUAUUUGUGAAACGUACAGUUCCGUAAGUUUUAGCAUAAACUGGUGCAGCCUUUCGGUGCUUGCAAAAAGGCUCAUCUCUCCAUUAAUACCGAAGGAAAAUUGGAGUUUAAAAGUUGGUCCGAUCUUCGUUCGAGAAGGAAAAGGGAUGUUCCAGAUACAGAAAACCGUCAAACCAUUUACUACAAAGUCCGUUUCUGGGUGGAGUUAGUGGAACCGAAAAAGAUGUCUCCCUCACAGCAUUUGUGACAAAAGAAUUGUAUCGUUCCUUGGCGGCCUUUCAACAGAAGAAUAUUCAGAGAUUUCCCGAGUGCUAAUCCCUUCAACAAAUGACAGAUUCUGAUGUUGGUUCCUGGAAAGCCUCCAUGGUUGGAGGACGAGAAGCCGUAUCCAAUUGAAGCAGCACAGGCUUCUGCGAUGACUGUGGAAACCACUGCUUAUGCCUUGCUUCAAGCGUUGUCAAGGAAUGAUAUUGACGAUGCAACACCGAUUGCGAGGUGGCCAACGAUGCAACAGAACUAUGGUGGUGGAUUUCACU